CUUCUCUCUCCCCAAUCAGCGUGAUUGGGGGACACCUGUUGGAGGGAGCGGGAGCCAUCUUAAAAAGGCCACUAGGACAGACAGACGGGACCGGGAACCAUGGAGAGUCAGGAAGCACAUGAGACGACAACGCAUUAGAGGCUCACGGAGACCCUAACAGGUUAUUGCCCUCAGGAAGGAGAUGCGAGGUACCACUUUUCAAGAAGGUUAGACUAAAGUCUUUUGUCCAUCAUUCGACUUUGAUGCUAAACCGGAGAUAGGCGAAGUGGUGGACAAUGUGCUCUCGACUAUCUGUACCCAUUGUGAUGGGGGGGGGACACCUGUUGGAUGGAGCAGGAGCCAUCUUAAAAAGGCCACGAGGACGGACAGACGGGACCGGGAACCAUGGAGAGCUAGGAAGCCCAUGAGACAACGACGCAUUAGAGGCUCACGGAUACCCUAAGUCUAUCUUGUAUAUGGACCCUGUAUACUCCGGUUUUCUGAUAUUAAAUGCCGAGUACGGCUUGAACCCCGA